AUACGGAGGGUGCAAGCGUUACUCGGAAUCACUGGGCGUAAAGCGCGCGCAGGCGGGCUGAUAAGUUGGAUGUGAAAGCCUACGGCUCAACCGUAGAACUGCAUCCAAAACUGUCAGUCUAGAGUGUGGGAGAGGAAGAUGGAAUUAGUUGUGUAGGGGUAAAAUCCGUAGAGAUAACUAGGAAUACCAAAAGCGAAGGCAAUCUUCUGGAACACUACUGACGCUGAGGCGCGAAGGCGUGGGGAGCAAACAGGAUUAGAUACCCUAGUAGUCC
rnacentral:rRNA from 1 species